UGACCUCGGAUCAGACGUGAUUACCCGCUGAAUUUAAGCAUAUUAUUAAGCGGAGGAAAAGAAACUAACAAGGAUUCCCCUAGUAACGGCGAGUGAACGGGGAAGAGCCCAACACCGAAUCCCUUGGCGCAAGUCAACGGGAAAUGUGGUGUUAAGGUAGCCCUUCGUGUCAGUCUAGGCGUCUCAAGUCCCACCUGAUUGUGGCUCAAGCCAGAGAGGGUGUAAGGCCCGUAGAGACGCUCCGACUGAUUCCUGGGGUUUACCUACGAGUCGGCUUGUUUGGGAAUGCAGGCCAAAGCGGGUGGUAAACUCCAUCCAAGGCUAAAUACUGGCACGAGUCCGAUAGCGGACAAGUACCGUGAGGGAAAGUUGAAAAGAACUUUGAAGAGAGAGUUCAAUAGUACGUGAAACCGCUUAGAGGCAACGGAUGGUGCUCAUACUGGCCUGAGGAAUUCAACUGUGACGGUGGCUGGACGAGCUGGCGUUCCGAUCUCUCUUUUGGGACGGGCGUCGGUUUGGGCUAUCAGCUCUGACAUGGUGCACUUUCCUUGGUGGCCUCCGCCACGACCGACGACACUGGCUAACCGCGGCUGGGGUAAGGUGACAAAACUGCUUCGGCAAUUUGUGUUAUAGACCCCGGCGUUCGGACAUGGUUUGCGCCAGGACGUCGAGCUUGCGGCGCGCGCGCCGCUCCUUGUGUGGCUCGCCAUGUUGGCUAGCUUGGCUGCGCCGCGAUGCUUGCACUGGACAACGCAGUACACAGGUGACGGUUGUGGGUCUUGUCUCUAGUUGGCCUCUGCGAGUUUGGGCGCCUAUAGUCUCGUGGCUGAUACUUGUGGGUAGGACUAUCCGCACCCGUCUUUGAACACACGGGUCCAAGCGAGUCUAACACUACCGUGCGCGCGAAGUCAUCGGGGCUUCUAGUCGAAACACCAAAGGUGCGCAGUGAAUGGGAUUCUAAGAAAACCCAGUUAAAGGCCUGCUUCUCGAAAGUAGGCUGCUUGUAAGCUGAGGUGGGAUCUCGUGCAUUCGCGAUUGGCGGGCGCACCACCAGGCCCGUCUAUCUGUCUCUAGUCAGUGCGGGCGGGUUUAAUCUGAGCGUACACGUUGGGGACGGCCGAAAGAUGCGUACACGGUUGACACCGAAAAGAUGGUGAAACUAUGCUUGCGCAGCUCGAAGUCAAGUGGAAACACUGAUGGAGAGCGGCAGCGUUUCUGACGUGCAAAUCGAUCGAUCCAAACGUUGAGUAUAGGGGCGAAAGACCUAAUCGCAACCAUGGCUAGUAAGCUGGUUCCCUCGCGAAGUUUCCCUCAGGAUAUUGAUAGCUGGCACUACUCGCCGGGAAACAGUUUUAUCCGGUAAAUGCGAAAUGAUUAGAGAUCGCAUUGGGGUCGAAAACGACCUCGACCUAUUCUCAAACUUUAAAUGGGUAAGAUGCUCGUCCUCGCUUAAUUGGAGGCGGGCUUCACCUCUCUAACGUGAAUUGUGAGUGCCCAGUGGGCCAUUUUGGUAAGGCAGAAACUGGCGCUGUGGGUGAUGAACCGCAAACGCGCGGUUAAGGCGCCCAAUGCGGAACGACAUCAUGAGACACCGACAAGAAGGUGUUGGUCGAUACUGACAGCAGGACGGUGUGCCAUGGAAGUCGGAACCCGCUAAGGAGUGUGUAACAACUCAACCCCUGCCGAAUCAACCAGCCCUGAAAAUGGAUGGCGCUGGAGCGUCGGGCCUAUACCACGUGCCGUUGGGGCGAAGCAGACAAAUAAUCUGUGUGGAGGAAUGUCCUCCCAACGAGUAGGUGCAGGGUCGCCGUGGUGAGCGCAGCAGAAGGUGCGGCCGUGAGGCCGGCUGGAGCCGCACGGGCGCAGAUCUGGUCGGUAGUAGCAAUUAAUCAAGUGAAGAACCUUUGAGGACUGAAGUGAAGAGAAGGGUUCGGCAUGUGAGAACAGAGCAGUUUGAACAUGGGUCAGGCGCCGUCCUAAGCGAUCGGGUAACUCGCGUACCUAAGACGACUAAGCGAGGGUGACAGAACUAUCACUUAACUAAAUUGUUUUCACGUGGUUAUAGCCCUCCGGAGCGAAAGGGAAUCGUAGUUAAAUAUUCACGACCCUUACCGUGGAGAUCGCCCCUUUCGGGAGGGCAAGUGCGCGGUAACGCAAACGAACACAGAGACGACGCACGUCGGCUGGAGGGCCGCCCCCGGGAAGAGAGUUCUCUUUUUCUUAUGUGUAAGGAGCGUACCCCUGGAAUCGGCUUGUCCGGAGAUAGGGGCGUGGCUUCCGCUAAAGCAGCGCGGGUCUUGCGCUGUCCGGUGCCACCUAGUCGGCCCUUGAAAAUCUGUGGGAGACAGUGUGAUUUUCACGGUAGGCCGUACCCAUAAAUCGCGCAGCAGGUUAUCUCGCAAGGUGAACAGCCUCUAGUCCUAGAAACAAUGUAGGUAGGGAAGUCGGCAAAAUGGAUCCGUAACUUCGGUGGAAAAGGAUUGGCUCUGAGGGCUGGGUCGGAUGGGCCUGGCGUAAGAAAGCUAGUGUUGCCGGCGUUUUUUGGUGAGGACUGUGGCGCGAGGCAUUUCGGCUUUACUCGGACCAUUGCCGAGACCAGGCAGUAGACGACGUCAGCUGUGCUGUGUCGUGUUUCGGCGGCGGCAGCUUCGUCCGGCAACACAAACAGCCAACUCAGAACUGGCACGGACUAGGGGAAUGCCGACUGUUCCUAAUUAAAAACCAAAGCAUUUCGAUGGCUGUUGCUCGGUGGUUGACGCAAUGUGAUUUCUGCCCAGUGCCUCUGAAGUCAAAGUGAAGAAAUUUCAAUCAAGCGCGGCUGUAAACGGCGGGAGUUAACUAUGACUCUCUUAAGGUAGCCUAAAUGCCUCGUUCAUCUAAUUAGUGACGCGCAUGAAUGGAUUAACGAGAUUCCCACUGUCCCUAUUCUACUAUCUAGCGAAACCACAGCCAAGGGAACGGGUGGCAGAAUCAGCGGAGGGAAGACGAGCUUUACGCAGGACAUCAGCGGGGAAUGUGAGCUUGACUCUGACCCCUGUCCGAGCUUGUACUGCUAGUAAGCCCGACUUUGUCGAAUGAGAACAUGAGAGUGUAGUAAGUAUAGGUGGUGAGCGGAGCAGUCAGCGACUUUGAAAUACCACUACCUUUUAAUCGUUUCUUUACUUUUAUUAUUCAGUGAAGCGGAGCGGCCUUCACGGGCGGCCUCGUUUCUGUGGUGUUAAACGGCUGGCCCUCGCGGCCGGCCGUGACCUGCCUUCUGAAGAACAGUGUCAGGCGGGAGUUUGACUGGGGAGGCUGUACAUGGGUGUCGGUACAUCUGUCAAAGUAGGUAACGCAGGUGUCCCAAGAUGAGACUCACGUCAGGACAGAACACCUGGCUCGUAGAGCAAAAGGGCAAAAGCCCUCACAUUUGAUUUUGAUUCUUCAGUACGAAUACAGACCGUGAAAGCGCGGGCCUAUCGAUCCCUUUGAUUUAAUCAGAGUUUGAUGCAAGGGGUGUCAGGAAAAGUUACCACAGGAUAACUGGCUUGUGGCGGCCAAGCGUUCAUAGCGACGUCGCUUUUGAUCCUUCGAUGUCGGCUCUUCCUAUCAUUGUGAAGCCAGAAUUUCACCAAGCGGUUGGAUUGUUCAUUCCACCAAUUAGGGAACGUGUGAGCUGGGUUUAGAGCGCGUCGUGAGACAAGCAGUUAGUUUUAGCCCUACUGAUGUCUUGUCGUUGCUAUGGUAAUCGCCUGCUUAGUUACGAGAGGAACCGCAGCGUUCAGACAUUUGGUGUUAUGUGCUUGGUCGAAAGACCAAUUGGUGCGAAAGCUAACCAUCUGGUGGAGAAGAGAUAAUCAAGACUGAAAGCGACUCUAAGUCUGAAUCCCGUAAGUCUGAAUCCCUGCAACGCGGAAAUCAACGAUACUAUCGGUGCCCCUACGCCGGGAGGCAACGAUAUAGUACUCGCCCGAAAUUCCGAUUCCGGCGGCCGAGGACUGGCUAAAAGCACUUGCCGAAGAUACUGGCCGACACCCGCGCUUGUCAUUGAAAUUUAUUUGGCAGUGUGGAGGCACAGACACGAUACCACUUCGAUUGAGACGAAUCAGGGGUUCGUAUGAUUCGUUCUAUUAUCGUUUGUAGACGACUUAGAUCUCGUCGGGGUGCCCGUACUUAGUUUGAGCAGUUCUUUCACUUGCGAUCUAUUGAGGCUCAUUGCCUGCUUUACGGUCCUUUGUGA
rfam:Macrostomum lignano unitig_32584, whole genome shotgun sequence.